CUUCUUUAUUGAUCCCGAAGUCAGCUAGUCUAGAAAAUAUGGUUCUGUUUACAGGCAGCACAGGCAUACUCUACUGCAUCUAGACUUCAGUCUUGCCAUCCCUACCAGCAUGUCUGCAUGUCAGAAGAUGACCCAGGUCUACACUACCCUCCCCUAUCCCCACAUCCUCCUUGGAAGAAGAUCUCAGCACAGAAAUGUGAAUUGAACCAUGCUCCCCAGCCAUACCUUGCCAGGUGAAAACACCUGGGAGGAAAGAAAUACCAGCCCCUCCAUGUAGACACAAUCAGAACAUUUAAAAGAAAAAGGAAGAGGAAAAAGUAGGGAGAGGGAAAGAGAGAGGAGCAUCAGGUUUUGCCAUUGAAAGGUAGAAGCUUGAGAAAUCAAUAAUGAAAAAUGACUUACAGACUGGAAAAGCACUGGCCUUGCAGAGAUCCCAUUUUAAACCACAUGCUGGAUAAAAGUGGCUUGAAGUCACAAAACAAGACCUCAAAAUUUCAGCCUGGACAGGAGAUAAGAAAAGGUGGAAGAGAAGGAAGAUGAGAAGGAAAAUUGCAAAUCUUUAACAACUACAGAAACAAACACCCUUUGGAAGUCAAAAGUUUAAAAUCCUGAUGCAGGUGUUUUCCAGAAGUUGAAAAGAAGACUUUACUCAACAAGGAGUUUUAAAUUAAAAACAGAACAUAUCUUCAAGAAUGAUUCAACUUCAGCUGGACACAUCAUUGUUAGCUGUCAGAAACUUAGUUAAAAAUUAGGCUCCAUUUCAGUCAAUAGCUGUUUGCUAUUGAUUUCUGUGGAGGCAGGUUUUUUCCCCAACUUCUCAUCAGCAUAUUACUGGAAACUUCCCCUCUGUUUCUGCUUUCUAACACAACACAAAUCUCAGCACACAAAAGACUAUUGACCCCUUAUAGCCAUUUUAGCUGUGACUCUUCACAUUCCUGUUCUUCUAUCCUCAUGUCAUCUUUCCUCCUUUACCCACAAACAAAUUGUUUAUGAACCAUUUUCUCUUUAUAAAAAUGCAUUCAAUAGCAGUCUCAAAAGAAAAAGCCCUCAGCAGUCAUUGAAUUUGUUAUACUACGUAUGAAGGCAUAAGCCAGGGAUAUUAUUUUUAAAGGACAGAAUUUCACAGUAACAGUGAUAUUAAAAAGCAAAUAAUGUACUGGUCUCAUUGCCUCUCAUAACUAUCCCUUUGGUUUGGUUAGAGAAGAAUUAAAAAAAGAAGUCUUCAUUAAAGUGCAUGUGCUUGAAGUCUGGAACUUGAAUGAUGUAUACUGGCUCUAGAUCAAGAGGAUACUUCUGAUGUCUUUUUUUUUUUCCCCUCCAGUUGCUAAAUCUACAACCCCUUCACAGCCCCCAUCUUCUUCCUUCCCUACCUCUAAUGGAAUAAAGUCUUCUGAGCUAAAGCCAAAAAUUGUUUUGAAUUUAAUCUGUGGUAAUGUAGUCUGUGUCUCCUUUUAAGGGCUGACAGCAAUUUAUUGUUCUGCAUAUUUCAUUCAACUUAAAAUCAAAUCCAAACAUUCCAUUAAUAUAGGUAAAAUAUCAAAAUGAUGAAGCUGUUACUUAUAUCUGCAACAAAGACCUUAGCUAACAAAAAUCUUUCCAGGGACUUCAGUUGCAGCUGUAUAAAAUCCUGUGUUCCUCGCAUCAAAUUUUGUAUUUUUUAUUGAGAAUACCUUCCAAAAGACAAUUCCCAAUUAGAGGAAGUCUCAUAUUCUUAAGUCCUUGUUAAAUUACUUUAAUUUCACAGCCUCUGUAUCCAGUAUGUUGCUUUUAAAAUUGCUUAAGUAGUUCUAUGGCUUUUAUGGGAUGGGGGGGUAAAGGCCAUGCCUAGGCACAGUUAUAGCUGAACUCUUUGGAAAGAAGAAACAAGCUGCCUGCAUUAAGUCUCAAAGUCAAGAAAAAACAGAACAAAAAUGACUUAUUGAAAAUGUACUUAAAGAGAGGAAAUGCGCUUACAAUUAAGAAUUUAAAAGAAAAUUUUUCAGACAAGGCAGGUUGGUUAAGUCAGUACCUGAUUUUUCCUAAAUGAAAAAGAGAUGGAAUAGUUAUUUUUCCUUCUACUCAGGGAUAAUGUCUCUUUAAGCUAUGGGAAUUAAAUGUCUGUUUUUCUCCAUCUUUUCCCCCUGCAGUACAUAAUCACUGUCUGUCACACUUUGAUGUCAUAAUCAUCCACUGAAGCUUCACUCUUCAGGUGUAAAUCUGCUUAACACACCAGAAAAAAAAAAAAAAGAAGGAAA